GAUUUCUGGUACGGCGCAUUUGGCCCGCUUCGGUUACGGAGUUGAGUGCCGUUUUGCGCCUGCCAUCCUUCUAGAGUACGACUCUCCCUUCACUGGGUUGGGCCGGAAUCUAGAUCAUUUACUUUGAAAAAAUUAGAGUGUUUAAAGCAGGCUUACGCUAUGAAUACAUUAGCAUGGAAUAAUAAUUUAGGACUUCGGUUCUAUUUUGUUGGUUUCUAGGACUGAAGUAAUGAUUGAUAGGGAUAGUUGGGGGUGCUAGUAUUCAGCGGCCAGAGGUGAAAUUCUCGGAUUCGCUGAAGACUAACUUAUGCGAAAGCAUU
rnacentral:rRNA from 1 species